CUAACAGUCAAGAGAGCCUGAGAAGUAUACAUGUUGUGACAUGGAAUGUGGCCUCAGCAGCCCCCACUGUGGACCUCAGUGACCUACUUCAACUGAAUAGCCAAGACCUGAAUCUGGACAUAUAUAUCAUUGGUUUGCAGGAAAUGAAUUCUGGAAUCAUAAGCCUUCUUUCUGAUGCUGCUUUUGAAGACCCAUGGAGCACUCUCUUCAUGGAUGUGCUUUCCCGUCUGCACUUUGUCAAGGUAAGUUAAAAGUCUGUGGGC